rnacentral:lncRNA from 1 species
CUGGAGUGACAUGCAUUCCUUCCAGGCUAAAGCACAGAAGAGCCGUGUGAGCUCUCCAGGCUCCUCUUCUUCUGUCACAGUGACAAGUUGAAUUGCAGAUGGUGCAACUUCACUCAAUUUGGAUCCCUGAGGGACCAGGUGGUGCACGGGUUGGACGCGCAGCAUGUAAAGAAGGCGGUAAGAAGUCAGACCUCCUGGAAUGGUUCAUGCCUCUAUAGAGAACACAGUGCUCAAGCAAAUAAUUUUUAGAGCCAAUCUCUGAGUAAGAUUCUCAUGAGAAUGCCAAGCACCACUCUUUUGUGAAGAAACUAGAAGAGGAUCAAUACAUAUCCUGCCAGUUAUCUCUCAGGUUCUUUCUUUCUUUUUUCUUUUCUUUUCUUUUUGCUGAGGAAGACUGGCCCUGAGCUAACAUCCAUGCCCAUCUUCCUCUACUUUAUAUGUGGGAUGCCUGCCACAGCAUGGCUUGCCAAGCAGUGCCAUGUCUGCACCCGGGAUCUAAACUGGAGAACCCUGGGCCACCAAGGUGGAACAUGCACACUUAACCGCUGCGCCAACAGGCCGACCCCUCGGGUUAUUUCUUUUAUCUGAAACUAUAGAACAAGAGUUCCAAAACUUCAAGUGCUGAAGAUGUACCCACAGAGCUUGUUAAAAUGCAGAUUUCUAGGCCAGAAUGGGGCUCUGAAAAUCUCAUUUUGGCAGGGACCACAGGAGAUUCUGACUCUGCUCCAGGAACCCACUUUAUUGCCAUGGAAGAAUCCUAGGGAAGCUGAGGCUAGAGGGAUCCGCUUUUCUACCUUUAUUUCCUUCCACCGAAAGUGGCCUCCAAGGGAGUUGCCGUCCAUAGCCUGCCUGUUCGGGUCUCCGUCCACCAGGCACUCCCGCUUGCUUCUCCCAUCUUCCCUCCCAGGUGGAGCUGUGGGAGCACUGGCUCAGGUGGGAUGCCUACCACAGCAUUGCUUUCGCCAAGCGGUGCCAUGUCCUCACCCGGGAUCCGAGCUGGCGAACCCCAGGCCGCCAAGAAGCGGAACGUGUGAACUUAACUGCUGCGCCACUGGGCCGGCCCCACUAUUUUUAUUUUUAAUAAAAUUUGCAUUUAAGAUGCCUUAUUUUAAAGCAAUAAAGCAUAACUCCUUAUAUGUUUAAAACUCCUGUUAAAUGUUAUAAAUUAACGUCAUUUUCUGCUAAUUUACAC